UACGUAGGGUGCGAGCGUUGUCCGGAAUUACUGGGCGUAAAGAGCUCGUAGGUGGUUUGUCGCGUUGGUCGUGAAAACCGGGGGCUUAACUCUCGGCGUGCGGGCGAUACGGGCAGACUGGAGUACUGCAGGGGAGACUGGAAUUCCUGGUGUAGCGGUGGAAUGCGCAGAUAUCAGGAGGAACACCGGUGGCGAAGGCGGGUCUCUGGGCAGUAACUGACGCUGAGGAGCGAAAGCGUGGGGAGCGAACAGG
rnacentral:rRNA from 1 species